UAGAUAAGAGUUAGUCAGGUUAGCCAAGAGACUUGCCUAGUAACCACGUAAAGCAAUUCUAAGACGUGGUAGAGCUGUGCCUUGGAGGACAUAGGCAAGUCAUUCUUGGCUACCAAACACUCUUAGCU
rfam:Nelumbo nucifera unplaced genomic scaffold scaffold00042, whole genome shotgun sequence